UACGUAGGGUCCGAGCGUUGUCCGGAAUCAUUGGGCGUAAAGCGCACGUAGGCGGCCCGGUAAGUCCGUUGUGAAAGUCAGAGGCUCAACCUCUGGAGGCCAACGGAUACUGCCGGGCUAGAGGGUGGUAGAGGCGAGUGGAAUUCCCGGUGUAGCGGUGAAAUGCGCAGAUAUCGGGAGGAACACCAGUAGCGAAGGCGGCUCGCUGGGCCAUUCCUGACGCUGAGACGCGAAAGCUAGGGGAGCGAACAGG
rnacentral:rRNA from 1 species